UGAGAGAUACCAGUAGCAAAU
rnacentral:piRNA from 1 species